GUACUCUCUUCGGCAGCACAUAUGCUAAAAUUGGAUGAUACAGAGAAGGUUAGCAUGGCACCUGCACAAGGAUGACACUCAAGCCGUGACGCAUUCCUUAUCUGG